GGGGGGUUAGCUCAGUUGGCUAGAGCGACAGGCUGGCAGUCUGUAGGUCAUCGGUUCGAUCCCGAUACUCUCCA
rnacentral:tRNA from 1 species